GAUAGUAAUGCUCAAGUUACGGAGGAAGCAGCGUAGUGGAAAGGUUCUUAGUGAUUAGUAAAAGGAACUUUUCAAUAUUUGGUGCCCCAGGAAACAAAGUGACCAGAUUUAUGUUGUUGGUUUUUCCUUUUGUCGUCAAGACAGGUGUAGCUCUGGUCUGAGUUCAUGCUAAGAAAUGAAUUAGUAGUUCCUAAUGUAAGCAGUUAUCUUCACAUUUGCAGUUUUUAAUCAUUCGGUUAUUUAUUGUUAGGUGAUAAUUAUACAUUCAGAUAAGAAAAUCUGCCAAAUGAUGGGACCAGAUCAUCCUGCAUUCUUUUCAAAUGCUGUUCAGUUUGUUUAAAUAACUACAGGUCUUUCUACAUUUGUUUCCAUUUGUUGUGUUAAACAUAGACACAGCAGGAUGAUGUUGGUAAAUGGCUGUUUAAGUUAAGUUAAAGCUGUUUUCUGUGUGUGUGGGUGGGUUUUAUUCUUUUUCUAUUUUUACUUUCCAACUUUUGUAUCAUUUAGGACAGUGCUACAAACUGCUGAGUCGG
rnacentral:lncRNA from 1 species